rnacentral:rRNA from 1 species
GAUGAACGCUGGCGGCGUGCCUAAUACAUGCAAGUCGAGCGAACGGACGAGAGGCUUGCUUUUCUGAUGUUAGCGGCGGACGGGUGAGUAACACGUGGAUAACCUACCUAUAAGACUGGGAUAACUUCGGGAAACCGGAGCUAAUACCGGAUAAUAUUUUGAACCGCAUGGUUCAAAAGUGAAAGACGGUCUUGCUGUCACUUAUAGAUGGAUCCGCGCUGCAUUAGCUAGUUGGUAAGGUAACGGCUUACCAAGGCAACGAUGCAUAGCCGACCUGAGAGGGUAAUCGGCCACACUGGAACUGAGACACGGUCCAGACUCCUACGGGAGGCAGCAGUAGGGAAUCUUCCGCAAUGGGCGAAAGCCUGACGGAGCAACGCCGCGUGAGUGAUGAAGGUCUUCGGAUCGUAAAACUCUGUUAUUAGGGAAGAACAUAUGUGUAAGUAACUGUGCACAUCUUGACGGUACCUAAUCAGAAAGCCACGGCUAACUACGUG